UAUGGCCACACCUACAUUGAAUGGACCCAAUCUUAUUUGAUCUUGGAAGUUAAGCAUGGUCAGACCUGGUUAGUACUGACUGGGAAAAGUUUAAGAAGCACUGUUUUGAGCCAGUC
rnacentral:rRNA from 1 species